UACAGAGGUCUCGAGCGUUAGGCGGAAUCACUGGGCUUAAAGCGUGUGUAGGCGGAUCGUUAAGUACCUUGUGAAAUCCCACGGCUUAACCGUGGAAUUGCUUGGUAUACUGGCGGUCUUGAGCCAUCUAGGGGCGACCGGAACAAAUGGUGGAGCGGUGAAAUGCGUAGAGAUGUGGAGGAACACCGAUGGCGAAGGCAGCCUCCUGGGCCAGCACUGACGCUCAUGUACGAAAGCGUGGGGAGCAAACAGG
rnacentral:rRNA from 1 species